CCCUUAGAUGUUCUGGGCCGCACGCGUGCUACACUGAGUGGAUCAGCGGGUCAGGUUGCGCGAAAGCGUUUCCUAAUCUUUAAAUCCGCUCGUGAUGGGGAUUGACGGUUGCAAUUUUCUGUCAUGAACGAGGAAUACCUUGUAAGCGCGGGUCAUCAUCCCGCGCUGAAUACGUCCCUGCCCUGUGUACACACCGCCCGUCGCUCCUACCGAUGAAUCGUCCGGUGAAGUUCACAGAGUGGCGGUUCGUGGAGUUGCUCGCGAAGUGAAAUGGACCUCACGAUUUAGAGGAAGGAGAAGUCGUAACA
rnacentral:rRNA from 1 species